UCCCUGGUGGUCCAAUGGCUAAGAUUUUGGGUUCCCAAUGCUAGGGGCCUGGGUUUGAUCCCUGGCCAGGGAA
rnacentral:tRNA from 1 species